GUGAGGGAGGGGGUGACUAGUGACAGAGUGAAAAAGGGGGUGACUAGUGACAGAGUGAGGGAGGUGGUGACUAGUGACAGUCAUCCCCUGACUGUCACCAGUCAUCCCCUCACUCUGUCACUAGUCACCCCUUCCUUCCCUCACUCUGACACUAGUUACCCCUUCCCUCACUCUGUCACCCCCUCACUCUGUCACUAGUCACCCCCUCACUCUGUCAC